CGUAAAGGAAAUCUAAUGUGAGUGUUAACUUUGAGUAGCAAUUACUUAGGUUCGCCCACCAUGCAACCCGUGCUUGUUUUCGUCCUGGUGUUUUCGCUUAGUGUCCUAGGAUACCCAGGCUUAACCCAGGAACAUCAAAAAAUUGUUGAGGACCUGCAGCACAGAUCAGUGCAAUGUGCAAAACAAAAACAG